rnacentral:rRNA from 1 species
CGGAGGGUGCAAGCGUUAUCCGGAUUCACUGGGUUUAAAGGGUGCGUAGGUGGGCAAGUAAGUCAGUGGUGAAAUCUCCGGGCUUAACCCGGAAACUGCCAUUGAUACUAUUUGUCUUGAAUACUGUGGAGGUCAGCGGAAUAUGUCAUGUAGCGGUGAAAUGCUUAGAUAUGACAUAGAACACCAAUUGCGAAGGCAGCUGGCUACACAAAUAUUGACACUGAGGCACGAAAGCGUGGGGAUCAAACAGGAUUAGAUACCCUGGCAGUCCACGCCCUAAACUAUGGAUACUCGACAUUUGCGAUAAACUGCAAGUCGUCUGAGCGAAAGCAUUAAGUAUCCCACCUGGGAAGUACGAUCGCAAGAUUG